AGCUCCAAUAGCGUAUAUUAAAGUUGUUGCGGUUAAAAAGCUCGUAGUUGGAUCUCGGCAGGCAAGGGGCGGUGCGCUGUUAGCGGCACUGCCCCGUUUGCCCGUGUUGUGUGGCGGAGGUUCCGGGGUGCCCUUUGCUGAGUGUCCCGGGGCGCCGUCAGGUUUACUUUGAAAAAAUUAGAGUGCUCAAAGCAGGCUUUACCGGCUUGAAUAUUCGUGCAUGGAAUAAUGGAAUAGGACGUCGUUCCUAUUUUGUUGGUUUUCGGGAAUCGACGUAAUGAUUAAUAGGGACAGCCGGGGGCAUUAGUAUUCGGACGACAGAGGUGAAAUUCUUGGACCGUCUGAAGACUAACGACUGCGAAAGCAUUUGCCAAGAGUGUUUUCA
rnacentral:rRNA from 1 species